CUACGUGCCAGCAGCCGCGGUAAUACGUAGGUCCCGAGCGUUGUCCGGAUUUAUUGGGCGUAAAGCGAGCGCAGGCGGUUAGAUAAGUCUGAAGUUAAAGGCUGUGGCUUAACCAUAGUACGCUUUGGAAACUGUUUAACUUGAGUGCAAGAGGGGAGAGUGGAAUUCCAUGUGUAGCGGUGAAAUGCGUGGAUAUAUGGAGGAACACCGGUGGCGAAAGCGGCUCUCUGGCUUGUAACUGACGCUGAGGCUCGAAAGCGUGGGGAGCAAACAGGAUUAGAUACCCCGGUAGUCCUGGCCGUAAACGAUGGGUACUAGGUGUAGGAGGUAUCGACCCCUUCUGUGCCGGAGUUAACGCAAUAAGUACCCCGCCUGGGGAGUACGACCGCAAGGUUGAAACUCAAAGGAAUUGACGGGGGCCCGCACAAGCGGUGGAGUAUGUGGUUUAAUUCGACGCAACGCGAAGAACCUUACCAGGUCUUGACAU
rnacentral:rRNA from 1 species